rnacentral:rRNA from 1 species
AGUAAAUAGAUACCCGGUAGUCCACGCCGUAAACGAUGUCGACUUGGAGGUUGUGCCCUUGAGGCGUGGCUUCCGGAGCUAAACGCGUUAAAGUCGACCGCCUGGGGAGUACGGCCGCAAGGUUAAAACUCAAAUGAAUUGACGGGGGCCCGCACAAGCGGUGGAGCAUGUGGUUUAAUUCGAUGCAACGCGAAGAACCUUACCUACUCUUGACAUCCAGAGAACUUAGCAGAGAUGCUUUGGUGCCUUCGGGAACUCUGAGACAGGUGCUGCAUGGCUGUCGUCAGCUCGUGUUGUGAAAUGUUGGGUUAAGUCCCGCAACGAGCGCAACCCUUAUCCUUUGUUGCCAGCGGUUAGGCCGGGAACUCAAAGGAGACUGCCAGUGAUAAACUGGAGGAAGGUGGGGAUGACGUCAAGUCAUCAUGGCCCUUACGAGUAGGGCUACACACGUGCUACAAUGGCGCAUACAAAGAGAAGCGACCUCGCGAGAGCAAGCGGACCUCAUAAAGUGCGUCGUAGUCCGG